rnacentral:rRNA from 1 species
UACAGAGGGUGCGAGCGUUUAAUCGGAAUUACUGGGCGUAAAGCGCGCGUAGGCGGCUUUUCAAGUCGAUUGUGAAAUCCCCGGGCUUUAACCUGGGAACUGCAGUCGAGACUGUCUAGCUAGAGUAUGGGAGAGGGAAGUGGAAUUUCAGGUGUAGCGGUGAAAUGCGUAGAUAUCUGAAGGAACAUCAGUGGCGAAAGCGACUUCCUGGACCAAUACUGACGCUCAUGUGCGAAAGCGUGGGGAGCAAACAGG